AAAUUGAAGAGUUUGAUCAUGGCUCAGAUUGAACGCUGGCGGCAGGCCUAACACAUGCAAGUCGAGCGGAAACGAGUUAUCWGAACCUUCGGGGGACGAUAACGGCGUCGAGCGGCGGACGGGUGAGUAAUGCCUAGGAAAUUGCCCUGAUGUGGGGGAUAACCAUUGGAAACGAUGGCUAAUACCGCAUGAUGCCUACGGGCCAAAGAGGGGGACCUUCGGGCCUCUCGCGUCAGGAUAUGCCGGCAGCAGUGGGGAAUAUUGCACAAUGGGCGCAAGCCUGAUGCAGCCAUGCCGCGUGUGUGAAGAAGGCCUUCGGGUUGUAAAGCACUUUCAGUCGUGAGGAAGGYRGUGUAGUUAAUAGCUGCAUYRUUUGACGUUAGCGACAGAAGAAGCACCGGCUAACUCCGUGCCAGCAGCCGCGGUAAUACGGAGGGUGCGAGCGUUAAUCGGAAUUACUGGGCGUAAAGCGCAUGCAGGUGGUUUGUUAAGUCAGAUGUGAAAGCCCGGGGCUCAACCUCGGAAUUGCAUUUGAAACUGGCAGACUAGAGUACUGUAGAGGGGGGUAGAAUUUCAGGUGUAGCGGUGAAAUGCGUAGAGAUCUGAAGGAAUACCGGUGGCGAAGGCGGCCCCCUGGACAGAUACUGACACUCAGAUGCGAAAGCGUGGGGAGCAAACAGGAUUAGAUACCCUGGUAGUCCACGCCGUAAACGAUGUCUACUUGGAGGUUGUGGCCUUGAGCCGUGGCUUUCGGAGCUAACGCGUUAAGUAGACCGCCUGGGGAGUACGGUCGCAAGAUUAAAACUCAAAUGAAUUGACGGGGGCCCGCACAAGCGGUGGAGCAUGUGGUUUAAUUCGAUGCAACGCGAAGAACCUUACCUACUCUUGACAUCCAGAGAACUUUCCAGAGAUGGAUUGGUGCCUUCGGGAACUCUGAGACAGGUGCUGCAUGGCUGUCGUCAGCUCGUGUUGUGAAAUGUUGGGUUAAGUCCCGCAACGAGCGCAACCCUUAUCCUUGUUUGCCAGCGAGUAAUGUCGGGAACUCCAGGGAGACUGCCGGUGAUAAACCGGAGGAAGGUGGGGACGACGUCAAGUCAUCAUGGCCCUUACGAGUAGGGCUACACACGUGCUACAAUGGCGCAUACAGAGGGCAGCCAACUUGCGAAAGUGAGCGAAUCCCAAAAAGUGCGUCGUAGUCCGGAUUGGAGUCUGCAACUCGACUCCAUGAAGUCGGAAUCGCUAGUAAUCGUGGAUCAGAAUGCCACGGUGAAUACGUUCCCGGGCCUUGUACACACCGCCCGUCACACCAUGGGAGUGGGCUGCAAAAGAAGUAGGUAGUUUAACCUUCGGGGGGACGCUUACCACUUUGUGGUUCAUGACUGGGGUGAAGUCGUAACAAGGUAGCGCUAGGGGAACCUGGCGCUGGAUCACCUCCUUAAACGAUGAU
rnacentral:rRNA from 1 species